UCUUCCGUAGUAUAGUGGUCAGUAUGCAAGCUUGUCAUAAAACAAUACGCUUGAGACCCGGGUUCAAUUCCCGGCGGGAGAG
rnacentral:tRNA from 1 species